GACGAACGCUGGCGGCGUGCUUAACACAUGCAAGUCGAGCGGUAAGGCCCUUUCGGGGGUACACGAGCGGCGAACGGGUGAGUAACACGUGGGUGGCCUGCCCUUAGCUCUGGGAUAAGCCUGGGAAACUGGGUCUAAUACCGGAUAUGACUCCAUGACGCAUGUUGUGGGGUGGAAAGCCUUGUGCGGCUAGGGAUGGGCCCGCGGCCUAUCAGCUUGUUGGUGGGGUGAUGGCCUACCAAGGCGACGACGGGUAGCCGGCCUGAGAGGGCGACCGGCCACACUGGGACUGAGACACGGCCCAGACUCCUACGGGAGGCAGCAGUGGGGAAUCUUGCGCAAUGGGCGAAAGCCUGACGCAGCGACGCCGCGUGAGGGAUGAC
rnacentral:rRNA from 1 species